CCUUAAAGGCCGAGCGAGCCGCCCGCGGCUUCAAAGAGGUAGCGUUCUAAAAUGCUUAAUAACUUUUUAACCGCUAAUCCUAUCCAUCUGAUUUAAAAAGUGAGGUAAAGCGGCUAUUCUAGGCUUUUUGCUGGUAUCACUAUGUCCUUUUCCGGGAUUCAGAGGCUCCGACGUGAUCGGGGCAACGUUAUCACAUUUUACAGCCUUGAUUCGUCAAGGAGACCCACGCGGCCCCUCUGUCUGAGCCAAACAGCAAAGGUUUUAGACUAAGUCCCACCCCCCUGUGUCCGGAUAGGUUUAAAAUGUAAAGGUCCAGGCAAACCUCUGCCCAUGCUACCAUCUUCUCGACCAAUCAACAUAGGUUGCUGUGUAUGUUUUUGGCGGCGGGAGAUAAACAAAGAGAAACAGAGAGACGAGAGAGUAAUACUAAAGAAGAGUAAUUCUGCCAGCGUAAGAGAAAUAAAUACAACACGAGAUAUCUAGAUACAGUCACACACACACACACACACACACACACAAAUACACAUACAUACACACACACACAUAUCCCAAGACAAAUUCAAACCAACAUGUCAAAACGGCGUUACACUACGGAAGAAGCCGUAGAAUUUAUUUGGUCUGGCGGACCGCUUAGCAAUGCAGCGGUGGAUUCCUCAGAUUCUGAAGCUGACAACUGGCAAUGAAGAGGAGUAUGAUCACGGGAUUGAUCCCUUCGAAGAUAAAAAAUACAGAGGAUGAGAGAGGGGAUGCACAAGCCCCUGUCCCCAUCAGUAGGCCUCCUUCAAACCGAGAGGGAAAAGAAUGUGGCCAGGAGGGUGCAGCAUCCAGAAAAAAGGCCAAACCAAUGCCAGUAAAAGGGAGAGGAAGAGGAAAAGGGAAAAAAACAUCUCUGACCCCAGAAGAGCCAGGAGCUGUUUGGAACGGACCUGAGGUGCCAGAUACUUCCCAACAACUACCACACUUUUGCCCGAAAAGAGCCCCUGGAGUCCAAGGUUUUGUUGGUGUGGAGUAUACUCCUGCACAAAUAUUUAGAAAUUGUUUUAACAACCAAGCUGUAAAUAUCAUCUGCAAGAACACAAACAAAAAUGCUGAAAAGGAGCAGGCUAAGGGGGAAAAGUUUGUUU